UGCUCUGCGUGGGGAGCCCAGAGAGGCCUCCCAGCCCCCCCAGCGUGGUGAUCACUGGGAGAACCGGGAGGCAGGGCUCGGAGCCCUGGCCAGGCCAGGCGCAUGCAGGGGGCUGGGGUCUCGCAGGCGGCGGGCAGACGCGGGAGCGCUCGGAGCCUGCUCCAACUUUCACCCCGAGGCCGGCGGGCGAGUGAAGUAACAGAAACCCCGAUAUAAACUUUUAAAAAUAAUAUCAGUUUUAUUAAAUAUUCGAGAACGGAUCCAGAGGUCGGAUUUAUACAGGAGGGUAACACGAGGGGAUUUUUUUAAUUUAUUUUUUUCUCCUACUGGCUAAACAAACGUCAUUCACUUUUUUUCCUCUCUUUUUGCAAUUUUCCCUCUUUUUUUCCCUUUUUAAGAUGGGAUUGGAACACGGACGGUGCUAAACAUAAAUAUAAAUACAGAGACCACAAAUACAGCUAAAAAUAUUCACACAGAAACGGUCACAGUUUGUAAUAUGCCAUAAUGACCCCCAGGAUUCUUUAAAUACAAUUCGCCUGGGCUGGGCAUUUGCUGGGGCAGAGGGGCCGGGCGGGGGCUGCGGGGAGGCCCUGGGGGUUGCUGUGGGGCCACGACGCGCCCUCCUUGGGCCUCCCGCCCUCCCCGGCGGCCAGGCCAGGACCUGAGGCCCCGGAGCGGAGGCCCCAGGGCCCGGGAGCCGGCUCUCUGACGGGGGUGGGGGUGGGGGGCGCCGAGGGGGUGGGAGGCCAAGUCCUCGUUUGAGGAAGAUCUGUGGAGUCUGAAGCGAGGUUCAGGGGAGAGCCCCAAGGCCUGGGCGGGGGAAGGGGCCUGCAGACAAGCCGAGAACGAGCUAGCGGGAGCGAGGAGGAGGAGGCGCCUGGUGAAAGAGUUUGUGCGGUGAGGGAGGGGGGUCCAAAGUUGACUUUUCAGGUCCAUAUUUGACGCCCUAAUUUUGUCUCGGGGAGUCCAAACACAUCAAUUGUGCCAGUGAUAAAUAGAGUGUGUGAUUAGGAGGGAGCUGG